rnacentral:rRNA from 1 species
UGGUGGGUAGUUUGACUGGGGCGGUCUCCUCCUAAAGAGUAACGGAGGAGCACGAAGGUUGGCUAAUCCUGGUCGGACAUCAGGAGGUUAGUGCAAUGGCAUAAGCCAGCUUGACUGCGAGCGUGACGGCGCGAGCAGGUGCGAAAGCAGGUCAUAGUGAUCCGGUGGUUCUGAAUGGAAGGGCCAUCGCUCAACGGAUAAAAGGUACUCCGGGGAUAACAGGCUGAUACCGCCCAAGAGUUCAUAUCGACGGCGGUGUUUGGCACCUCGAUGUCGGCUCAUCACAUCCUGGGGCUGAAGUAGGUCCCAAGGGUAUGGCUGUUCGCCAUUUAAAGUGGUACGCGAGCUGGGUUUAGAACGUCGUGAGACAGUUCGGUCCCUAUCUGCCGUGGGCGCUGGAGAAUUGAGGGGGGCUGCUCCUAGUACGAGAGGACCGGAGUGGACGCAUCACUGGUGUUCGGGUUGUCAUGCCAAUGGCACUGCCC